GGCGGCACAACUCAAAAGAGAGACAAGACCACUGAAAAUCCUCGUGUCACCAGUUC
rnacentral:tRNA from 1 species